UACCAGCACCCCCGAGUGGUCGGGACGUUUUAUUGGGCCUAAAGCAUCCGUAGCCGGUUCUACAAGUCUUCCGUUAAAUCCAACUGCUUAACAGGUGGGCUGCGGAAGAUACUAUAGAGCUAGGAGGCGGGAGAGGCAAGCGGUACUCGAUGGGUAGGGGUAAAAAUCCGUUGAUCCAUUGAAGACCACCAGUGGCGAAGGCGGCUUGCCAGAACGCGCUCGACGGUGAGGGAUGAAAGCUGGGGGGAGCAAACCGG
rnacentral:rRNA from 1 species